UCUGUCAUUCUUCGUUUGGUCGUUGAAGGGUUCGGACGUGUUUUUCGAAGCUCUCGACGUCGUGACCUAAUUAUAAUUUGAACUGCGCGGGUAAAGAACGCUCAUUUGCGGCUUGGACAUUGACCAAUACGGACGUGUUUUUAAAGCGCUCUGAAAAAAGUUUUGACUUUUAAAUUUUUUUUACUACGACAGAAUCUUAGUUGACUGAUGGUCUUUGACAAAGACAGACUUGUUUUUGUGAGCUCUGAACAAAAUUUGACUUUGAAAUAUUUUUACGAUUAAAAAGUUUCAGUUGACUUUUGAACGUUGACGAAGACGGACGUACUUUCGUGAGCUCUGACUAUUGAUGAAAAGUUUUCGCGUUAUAGAAUAGCGACUUGGUACUCAGGUUGUUGAAUGACUGGAUGACUGAAGUGUUAGGUUAUUGUUAUGAGAUAACAACUUGACUUUGACUUGAGUUGUGAAAUGAAAUCAUACUCUUAUGCGAUGUUAACUUUUGAACGUUUAGUAUUGACUGACAACGAAAUUUUGUGAGCGUUAUAUAUGAAAUGUUUGACUUACAUUAAUUUUUUUGAACGACUUGACUUCACUUUAAGUUUUGACAUCGGACUGAUCGGACGUGUUUUUUUAAGCUCUGACUGUUGUGAAUAAUUAAAUUUAUGUUGUGGUGUCAAGCGAUUGACUGUCAGUUGAGGUUCAGAUGUCGAGCUGUGCGGACGUGUUCAUCGAGCUGCUGUCUACAAAAAACUGGGCUGUGGUGAGUAUUGCAGAUUUAACUUGUAUGUGUGGUUUUUAGUUAACGAUGCUUAAUGAAAACUGUUAUUGUACACUUAGUAUGGAAUGAUGUGAAUGAUGAUAUGAUGGGUAGAAUUAAUCAGUGCUUGUGUCUAGAAAUGCUGAAUGUUUAUUGAAAAGGCUAAAUGCUAGCCAGUACUAAGAGUUGAGCUACCGUGGGAAUGUGAAACGAACUGAUGGUGUAAUAUGAUGGUGUAUUGACAUACUUUUCUUAUAUGUACUAAAUAUGAUAUUGCUUUACUUGUAUUUGCAUGCUGUUAACAUUUCUAUUUUGUUCCAGUGUGCUGUGGUGAGUACUGUAGAUAUUACUUGAUUUUUAGUGUCUAUGAAUGCUGAUGUAUGAUAGCUAUAGCAUGAGCUCAAUGCUAACCAGUAUUAUGAGUUGAUGUAUUGUGGUGAUGCUAAUCGAACUGAUGAUGUAACAUGAUGGUGAACACUUACUGAAUGCAUAAAAUUUAUUGAAUUGCAUUUGUUGAUAUGCACUAUAAUAUGAUAAAUGUAUUGCUUUACAUGUAUAUUUCAUGAUGUUUAAUUUCAGUGGGCUGUGGUGAGUACUGUAGAUUGUAUUGCCUAUGUAUAGAAUUCAAUAAAAGAUUAUGACUGAAAACUGCUUUUGAUUCUUUUUGAACAGUUUUAGGGACUAUAAGUCUAUAACAAAAAUAUGUCGGUUGGCGUUCAUACAGCAAUGUUUUGAGUAGUACAGAAAUGUUUCUACGUUUGUGGUCGCCAGUUGUCUGUGAUGUGUAAAGUGAAAAAUACACGGAGCUUUGAAUACAACAAACAGUUACUGUUUUAACACAGAUUGUGUGCUAUGCAUUUUUCGAUGUAGAUCUUUUUCAGAUUUGACAUGAAAUGUAGACCUGACAUUUGAACAGAGCUGGGAAACGAAAAGGUAAGUUUGUUAAAUUUCACAAUGAACACUUGUGUUUUGACAAAAGAAGAGAUAAAGUGAGUUUUGUCAUCAUCAUGGUUUCUUUCAGAGUAUAACUCGUGAACAGAUGAAAACCUAUUUUUUGCUAGAUUUUCAUGUACUCUUUUUUUGGAUGAUAAGUAUGUCAGUAACUCAAAAUCAUACGGCUAGUACAGUAUGGAACAUGAAUGCUUUGUUCAGAUUUUCAGAUGUGUGCUGGCAGUUCAAGUCUGGCAGCUGAAGUGAACAGUCGUGUUUUCUGGAGCUCCAACAAUAUGCUAGAAGGUAAGUAACUAUGUUUGUUUUGCAUUGCAUGUUUUUAUAUGUUUCAGACUUUCAAGCAGAGAUGUCAUGCUGACUGGAGUUGAGCACAGGGCAGUGACAAAGUGAAAGGUAAGUACUUUUGACUGAAUGUUUGUUCUAUGCAUGUUUUGUUUUAAUACAUUUCAGGAGUGCUUAUCCAGUGAUGAUAUGACAGUUGGAGUGAACAGUGGAGCCAAGCAGUCUUGUUUUUAGAGCUACUCAACAAGCCUUGAAGGUAAGUUUAGAAUUUCUCAAUGUUAGUGAAUUGAAGUACUGUCACUUGCUUUUGGACAGUCGAACAGAACAGACGUGGUUGCGAGAGCUCUCAUAUCUGUUGUGUUAAACUGUUUUUAUGAUAUGUUAUGUUUGUUUGUUUGUUUGUGAUGUACUAUUUUUCAGAUGCUGAUGGCAGUGAUGGGUUUUCAAGCUGACCUGAACAGAAAAGCACUCAUAUGGUAAGUACAAAAUAGUUGUUAUAUGGGAUGUUUUGUGCAUGCUUUUAUGUUUCAGGUGUACUUGCUGACAGCGACGAAGACGAAUCAAGAAGAGGAACAUUGUUGAGAAAGUGAUUGGGACUUGCAAACAGGGUAAGUGUAACACUUGUGUUUGUUUAAUUUGUAACAUGCGUGCUUUGCUCUGUUUCAGAUUUCACAUGCAGAAAUUAAACAGGAUUUCAACUGCUGAGACACAAUUCAUCAAAAGUAAGGUAAGUUUUAAUUCAUUGAUUUGAGUUGUACAAUGUGUUCUUUACUUUAUUUCAGAUUCGAGUCACUGGUUUACACAUGGAAGAAGAUUUCCACGUCUGUUACUCAACUCUACAGAAGCAAGGUAAGUCGAUCAAAUUUUUGUUUUCAUUGACUGCUGUAAUGUGAUGUUAUGCUAUUUUUUAUGUGUGCUAUGCAGAGAUGGAGAAUUCAAUUUUAAGAAAGAUUAACUGCUGCAGAUUAGCUCUGCUCUGUGUUGAUUUUUGUUCAAAAACGUUUAAAAUGUAUGUGUGUUUUCAGAUGUUUUGUUUCAGUUGAUGUCCAGAUGGCAAGCAGUACAGACGUGUUUCUUGGAGCUGCCAAACAGUGAGUACAAACGUUUUAUAUUUUUCAGUUGUUUACUCAUAGAAGUCUGUGAAAGAUGAUAACAAGGGUUGAAUCUAUCAGCACUUGUGUCUAAAAAUGCUGAUGUGUGACGGUUUACUGAAAAGGGUAAAUGCUAGCCAGUACUUACACUUGAGCAACCGUGGGAUGUCGAACUAACUGAUGAUGUACUAUGAUGGUGAACACUUACUAUGUGUAUCAAAAUGCUUUUGUUGAUAUUUACUAUAGAUGAUUUGAUAUUGGUUAACAUUUGUUUGCAUGCUGUUAACAUUUCUAUUUCAUUUCAGGGAGCUGUGGUGAGUAUUGUAGUAUACAUUUGUUUCAAUAAACCAUGAUUAAUGAAAACUGAUUUCGAUUCUUUUUUACAGUUUUAGGGAUUAUCACUCUAUAACAACUCUGUCGGUUGGUGUUCGUGAAUGUGAGCUUAAUGUUUGAGUAGUACAAAAAUGUCUUUACUUUUGUGAUCGCCAGUUGUCUGUGAUUUAAAGUGAAAAAUACACAGAGCUAUGAAGCAUACACUUGUUUCAAUAUUUUAUCAAUGAUUCAUCAAUGAUAGUGUGCUAUGCAUGUUUUGAUUUAGUUCGUUUCAGGUAUGACAUGACAUGAAGAGUUGACAGUCGAACAGAGCUGAGCAACGCAGAAAGGUAAGUGUGUUUCAUUUUAGUAUGAACACUUGUAUUUUGUUUUUAUAUGGUAUGUUUUGUGCAUGCUAUGUUUCAGGUGUACUUGUAGUCAGCGACGAAGACGAUUCAAGAAGAGGAACAUUGCUGAGAAAGUGAAUGGGACAUGCAAACAGGAUUCAAGUCCCUGGUGUAGACAGAGAAAUGUGUUUGAAGAAGGAAUUCUACUACUGUGAUUCAACUCUACAGAAGCAAGGUAAGUAGAAACAAAAUUUUGGUUUAAUUUAACUCAUGUGUUUUGCACUGCAUGCUAUUUUUCAGGUCUCUCAUGCAGUGAGGGAAAAGAAGAAGAUUUCAAGAAAAAAUCACUGCUGCAACUCAGGCCGAUAACAAGGUAAGCGUUUACUAUAUUGUAUACAAAAUGUUUUUCUGUUUUACUCUGUUUCAGGUUUCAAUUGCAGAGAUGUUGCAGAGAUGAUUUGACAGCUUGUGGCAGAAAAGAAAUUCAGCAUCUGUUUCUCGACUCUAGCCACGAGGUAAGUCAAAACAAAUAUACUGGUUUGUAUGUAAUGUUGUUAUGCCCUUCUAUGUUUCAGACUUACAUUGCUGUGACUGUUCCACAGUGGGUCAAAAAAGAGACGAAUACAGGUUUCAAGAAGAAAAUUGGCUGUUAAAAACCUGCACAAAAUAUGAGGUAAGUAAACUACUCUUUUGGUUUGUUUUGUGCUUUGUUAUGCUUAACUAUUUUUCAGAUUGGAAUGGUGGGUCGUUACAGAGCAGACUUUUGGACUACUGAGAAGUUGAGAAACAGAGAAUGAUUCAAGAUCAGCUAGGUAAGUCUUGAUUAUUAUGCAUUGCUAAAUGUUUUUUUCAUUCCAGUAUGGCUGUGGUAAGUACACAAACUUUCUAUAAUUUAAUAUUGAACUGUUUUUAUGACCUGUAUUCUGCAUUGUAAAAUGUCUGUUUUUCAUUUCAGUAUCCUGUGGUAAGUACACUAACUUUGUAUAAUUUCAUAUUGAAAUGUUUUGAUGACUUGUAUCCUGCUAUGCAAUGCUUAAUAUAUUUUUCAUUUCAGUGUGGCUGUGGUAAGUACAAUUGCCUUCUUUAAUUUUCAUAUUGAACUGUUUUGAUGAUUUGUAUACUGCUAUGCAAUGCUUAUUGUUUUUUACAUUUCAGUGUGGCUGUGGUAAGUACAAUUGCCUUUCAUAUUGAACUGUUUUGAUGACCUGUAUUUUGCAUUGUAAAAUGUGUUUCUUUUUCAUUUCAGUAUGGCUGUGGUAAGUACACAAACUUUCUUUAAUUUUCAUAUUGAACUGUUUUGAUGACUUGUAUUCUGCUAUACAAAAUGUGCUUUUUUCAAUUUCAGGUCAGCAAUGGUAAGUAUAGUGUGUUUUUUUAUGUAUAAUUUUGUAUACAUAUUGUUUUUUUUCAUCAUAGCAUGUAUUUUAUAUUUAUGCUUUGUGUAAGUAAAAUGUUCAUAAAUCAUUCUUAUCUUCAAACUAAAAAUGUAUUGUGCUAUGCAAAAUGUCUGUAUGAUUUCAGUUGCCAGAGGUGAGUACCAUUACAGUUGAAAAGUUAGUUUUGUUUAGUUAAAGUUUUGGUUCACAGUUCUGUUUGUUAUUUGGCAAAAUUUACAUGUAUGCAUUGAGUCUUGAUUUCAGCUCGAUUGUGGACUGAAGAAGAUUGCCCGCAGAGGGAUUGGAUACAAAAUACAAAGUAAGUACUGAGUUUCUUACUAAAAGUUUUGAGUUGUAUUCAUUGUAUGUUAAUAUGCUAUGAUUGCUAUGAACAUGACUUUUGUAUUUCAGCGAAGACAACAUAGGUAAGUAAAAUUGUUAUCUGUUUCAUGUUUACUGUUACAGUUCAAUAUUGUGUUUAUAAAUUGUAAGUUGUACAAACACAUUCAAAAGUUUCUAAUCAUGCUUUCGAUUUCAUUUCAGCUUUACUGCUAGACGAGUGUUCUCUACUACUUGACGAGUCAGCUUUACUACCAGGCGAGCAGUGACAACAAGGCGCCUUUGUGGAAACAACACAACAAAAAACUGUACUGCUAGACGAGCAGUGACAGAAAGGCGCCUGAACAUGCAACACAAAACAAAAAAUGCCAAUAUACAAACCUUGAUGUGAACACCGAGUAGUCAAUGCAUACGUGUGGCGUACAGCUGCGACAAAACCGUGGGUCCAUCGCACCGAUAACUCGAACAUUGGACCGCGUAUGGACAUCAGUGCAACUUUGUGAAUCCAUGUAACUUUGUGAAUCCAUGUAACAUUGCGAAUAUGUGUCGAUCGAAAAAUGUGUACAUUCUGCACUGAAACGAACUCGGUGUUGCAAGUGGCAAGUGUUGACAGUGUGUAUGUUUAUGUUUAUGUUUUUACAUGAAAACUAAAGGAGAUUGUUCUCCUACCUUUUUUUUCCUUGUUUUAUUGCGCUGGCCAGCAAUAUUGAUGUAUGUGUUUGUGUUUAAACUAUGCAAUACCAAAAUCAAACAAAAAUAAACAUUAACAGUCAUUAACUGUG